AAGAGUGCUAAUCUAUCGGCUACAUUGUGCAGUUUCAUUCAUUCAUUCCCAGCCAAAGAGGAGAGUUUGCAUCUUUUUUUUUUUUCGUAUAUAGAACGGUGCUAAUCUGUCAGCUACAUUGUGCAGUUUCAUCAAUUCAUUCCCAACGAAGGAGGAGAGUUUGCAUCAUUUUUUUUCUCUUAUAUAGAACAAUGCUAAUCUAUCGGCUACAUUGUGCAGUUUCAUCGAUUCAUUCCCGACCAAGGAGGAGAGUUCGCAUCAUUUUUCUUUUUUUUUUUUUGGUAUAUAGAACGGUACUAAUCUGUCGGCUACAUUGUGCAGUUUCAUCGAUACAUUUCUCGGCCAAGGAGAGAGAGAGAGAGAGAGAGAGGUAAAGUGAGCAAACUUUUCUUUGGCCUUCUCAUAUUUGGAUGUAUAAACAUAAUAAUAAUAAUUCCACUCCUCUUUUUGAUUCUUCCACCGCACCCUGUCUCUGGAAUGGUACCCAGAGGAGUGGAAUCAUCAAUUUUUGUCUAACCAAAUACGCAGCUUUCUCUGUUCUUUAUUAUUACCCUUUCUUUCAGCCUAAUCAUUGAAUAUAUUUGAGUUAUUCUUAUUCCACCUUUUUUCCUUUUUCUUUAUUUUAUUUUUUAAUUCUUACUUGUGUCAGACUGGCAGGAUUGGCAGGAUUGGAUAAUAAAAAUAAAAAAAAAAUCCCAUAAUUGGCAGGAUGUGCUGAGGCUUUUGGGAUCCUCGUGGGUCGAGUAAUUGGUAAGUCUUAUCUAUUUACCUCUCGAGGCACAAUAUCUUGGGUUUCAUAAUUGAAGUUAGAAAUAUUUACAAUAGCUACGAGAGUGAUGAAUAAUGGUCAAUCGAUCAUAGUUCAACCGGUUAGUUUUAUAUCUUUCAAACAAUAAUAUAUUUUAUUUUAAGGUUUGGGAUUUAAUUUUUUUUUUUUUAACAAAAAUUUUAAAAAAGAGGGACAAUUUAAAUGAGAGUCACAUGGCUUCCACAAUGGCCCAUUGCCCUUUGUCUUUAGGUUAAAGAAAGCGAAUGGGCACAGCCAUUCAGCACCCCUUAAUUUGCUGGAAAUGACCCUAUUAUUUUAGGGCAUUGGGACCCACCAUUUUUGGGAUAUUUAGUUAUUUACAUAUUAAUUCACCAA